CCUACGGGAGGCAGCAGUGGGGAAUAUUACGCAAUGGGCGAAAGCCUGACGCAGCGACGCCGCGUGAGGGAUGAAGGUCUUCGGAUCGUAAACCUCUGUCAGCAGGGAAGAACGGUCACUGUGCUAAUCACCAGUGAAUUGACGGUACCUGCAAAGGAAGCACCGGCCAACUCCGUGCCAGCAGCCGCGGUAAUACGGAGGGUGCGAGCGUUAAUCGGAAUUACUGGGCGUAAAGCGCUCGUAGGCGGUAUGUCAAGUCAAGGGUGAAAUCCCCGCGCUCAACGUGGGAAGUGCCUUUGAAACUGGCAAACUGGAGUGUGUGAGAGGAUCGUGGAAUGCCAGGUGUAGGAGUGAAAUGCGUAGAUAUCGGGAGGAACAUCAGUGGCGAAGGCGACUAUCUGGCACAUAACUGACGCUGAGGAGCGAAAGCGUGGGUAGCAAACAGGAUUAGAUACCCGGGUAGUC
rnacentral:rRNA from 1 species